rnacentral:rRNA from 1 species
GACGAACGCUGGCGGCGUGCUUAACACAUGCAAGUCGAACGGUAAGGCCCUUCGGGGUACACGAGUGGCGAACGGGUGAGUAACACGUGGGUGAUCUGCCCUGCACUUCGGGAUAAGCCUGGGAAACUGGGUCUAAUACCGGAUAGGACCACUGCCUGCAUGGGUGGUGGUGGAAAGCUUUUGCGGUGUGGGAUGGGCCCGCGGCCUAUCAGCUUGUUGGUGGGGUGAUGGCCUACCAAGGCGACGACGGGUAGCCGGCCUGAGAGGGUGACCGGCCACACUGGGACUGCGGUACGGCCCAGACUCCUACGGGAGGCAGCAGUGGGGAAUAUUGCACAAUGGGCGCAAGCCUGAUGCAGCGACGCCGCGUGAGGGAUGACGGCCUUCGGGUUGUAAGCCUCUUUCAGCACCGACGAAGCGCAAGUGACGGUAGGUGCAGAAGAAGGACCGGCCAACUACGUGCCAGCCGCCGCGGUAA